GAUGAACGCUGGCGGCGUGCCUAAUACAUGCAAGUCGAACGCAUUGAGAGAAGUGCUUGCACUUUUCAAUUUGAGUGGCGAACGGGUGAGUAACACGUGGGCAACCUACCUGAUAGCGGGGGAUAACGAGUGGAAACAUUCGCUAAUACCGCAUAACAAUAGAGAAGGCAUCUUCUUUAUUUAAAAGGCGCUUUCAAGCGUCACUAUCAGAUGGGCCCGCGGAGCAUUAGUUAGUUGGUGGGGUGAAGGCCUACCAAGACGAUGAUGCAUAGCCGAGUUGAGAGACUGAUCGGCCACAUUGGGACUGAGACACGGCCCAAACUCCUACGGGAGGCUGCAGUAGGGAAUCUUCCACAAUGGACGAAAGUCUGAUGGAGCAACGCCGCGUGUGUGAUGAAGGCUUUCGGGUCGUAAAGCACUGUUGUAUGGGAAGAAGUGCUAGGCUAGGAAAUGAGCUUAGUUUGACGGUACCAUACCAGAAAGGGACGGCUAAAUACGUGCCAGCAGCCGCAGUAA
rnacentral:rRNA from 1 species